UUAUUAUCUCAGCCUUUUAGCAAAGUUCAGGUGUAAUAUCUGUUUUCAUCAGUUUAAUAUCUGAUACGUUCCCUAUCUACAAGUGCUCGCUUUGGCAGCACGUAUACUAAAAAAAAAAAAAAUUAUAUUAUAAGAUACAGAGAUUAGCAUGGUCUUGCAGUCCGCAUCCACUCGAAGUUCAAAACCG